ensembl:lncRNA
GUGAGCUUCAUUUUCCUUUCAUACAGGAGGUCUUGGAUGACAAACCCCCUGUCUGCCAUAACUUCUCACCUGGGCGUAGGCAAUCCAGAAAACCUGAAUCUGUUGUUAUGAAUUUAUCACUGCAUCUUCCUCCGUAUGCGGGCGAAAUGAACAUGAUGAGCCCACAUGAUGCAACUGCCACCAAGUAUUUGAUGGCAACAAGCCUUUCAAGGGCCACCUCCUUCAACAAGACAAAUGUCGAGCUCUUCUUCAGUCGCCUGGGGGUGGCAAUAGAAAAGAGGCGCUUCGAUGGUUCAGACAUUUGGAACACGGACGAGACAGGCGUCACAACUGUGCAGGCACCAUCCCGAGAGGUAGCACGCCGGGGGGGCAGGCAGGUUGGAGCCAUGACGUCGGAAAAUGGUGAAUGCGGCCCGUGAUGACUGGAUGCGGAUGAAUCCAGGCGAACCAAUGACAGUUUACAACAUUCCAGGGAUCGUGAGG